CCUACGGGAGGCAGCAGUAGGGAAUCUUCCACAAUGGACGAAAGUCUGAUGGAGCAACGCCGCGUGAGUGAUGAAGGUUUUCGGAUCCGUGAAAACUCUCGUUCGUAAGUCGGAAGAACAAGUACGUUAGGAAAUGAACGUACCUUGACGGUACCUUAUUAGAAAGCCACGGCUAACUACGUGCCAGCAGCCGCGGUAAUACGUAGGUGGCAAGCGUUGUCCGGAUUUAUUGGGCGUAAAGCGCGCGCAGGUGGUUUCUUAAGUCUGAUGUGAAAGCCCACGGCUCAACCGUGGAGGGUCAUUGGAAACUGGGAGACUUGAGUGCAGAGAGGAUAGUGGAAUUCCAAGUGUAGCGUGAAAUGCGUAGAGAUUGGAGGAACACCAGUGGCGAAGGCGACUGUCUGGUCUGUAACUGACACUGAGGCGCGAAAGCGUGGGGGAGCAAACAGUAUUAGAUACCCUGGUAGUCCACGCCGUAAACGAUGAGUGCUAAGUGUUAGGGGGUUUCCGCCCCUAUAGUGCUGCAGCUAACGUCAUUAAGCACUCCGCCUGGGGCAGUACGACCGCUUAUUAGGUUGAAACUCAAGGAAGUUGACGGGGGCCCGCACAAGCGGUGGAGCAUGUGGUUUAAUUCGAAGCAACGCGAAGAACCUUAC
rnacentral:rRNA from 1 species